CAGCCGCCGCGGGAAUACGUAGGUCCCGAGCGUUGUCCGGAUUUAUUGGGCGUAAAGGGAGCGCAGGCGGUUUAGUAAGUCUGGAGCUAAAGGCAUUGGCUCAACCAAUGUAUGCUUUGGAAACUGUUUGACUUGAGUGCAGAAGGGGAGAGUGGAACUCCAUGUGUAGCGGAGAAAUGCGUAGAUAUAUGGAGGAACACCGGUGGCGAAAGCGGCUCUCUGGUCUGUCACUGACGUUGAGGCUCGAAAGCGUGGGUAGCGAACAGGAUUAGAUACCCCCUGUAGUCCCUGUCUCUUAUAC
rnacentral:rRNA from 1 species